ACCUGGGUGGCUCAGUCGGUUGAGCAUCUGACUUCGGCUCAGGUCAUGAUCUCAUGGUCUGUGGGUUCGAGCCCCACGUCGGGCU
rnacentral:tRNA from 1 species